UUAUGUCUUUUUAGAGGCACACCUGUGACAUAUGGAGGUUUCCAGGCUAGGGGUCGAAUUGGAGCUAUAGCUGCUGGCCUACACCACAGCCGUAGAAAUGCUGGAGCCUUAACCCACUAAGCAAGGCCAGGGAUCAAACCCCUGUCCUCAUGGUUACUAGUCAGGUUCAUUAACUGCUGAGCCAAGAUGGGAACUCUACAUGAAUUUUGAAAAAGUCCUGUACAGAGCAAAAAUUUUAAACAUGCAUAUUUUUCUUUUUCUUUUUUUUUUUAUGGCUGUACCUGCAGCGUAGGCAUGUUCCCGGGCUGAUGCAGCUGUGGAAGUGCUGGAUCCUUUAGCCCACUGCGCCAGGCCAGGGAUUGAACCUGCGCCUCCACAGCAACCUGAGUCACUGCAGUCAAACUCUUAACCCACUGCACCGCAGUGGGAACUCCCACAUUUUUCUUUUUCUUAAAAAAAUGAAGUAUACUUUUAAUGCAGUUGGGACCAUUAAGUGAGAACCGGUUUGCUGUUCCUCUAUGAGAAACGCCAGCAAAUAAAGUGAUAAGUGAAAAAGGAUAUGACUUUAGACACAUUUCUGCUUCCCUUUGACAGUGACUGACCCUCCCACUCGCCUCUUGGCUGUGUCGUGGAUGGAGUGGAGGGAACCAGGCCGCCUGCCCGGGUCUGGAGCGCUGCUGUCUGCUGAUGAAGGCACAUCUUAUGCUGGAUCCUCACCUGUUUUGCUGUGAAUUGAAAACUAGGCUCUAUACUUGUGUAGUUUCCCAGGUUACCUCUCAAGGCAGCUAGGAUGCCGCCUGCCAGCAGAUUCCAUUUAUUUGGACAAGACCGUGCGAGAUGCCUUCCUAAUUAGCUGUAUUGGCUGCUUGAGUCACCGGGCACUCCAGGUGGGUGCUGGGCUGGGGAGCACCGAGGGAGCUGGGUUGCUAACGAAGGGGGUGAGGCCGUAUGUGAGUUGGAUCCUAAACAAUGAGAAACAUUUACCCCCAAGACUGGGGGUAAGAGACGUUCCAGCCUAAAAGGUCAACUGGGUAACGAACGAAUGAGGUCAACUGGGUUCAGAACGACCUCCUUUGGUAGUUUGGUGUCAGCAGUAUGAAAAUAUGCUUCCUACGCAGUAAGAGAUUCAAUCCGAAGUUUAAAGCAGGGUCACCUCGAGUUUGAGGGAGCACACCCCUGGGAGCCGGUGGGACCCGGUGCAGGUCUUGCCUCACGCUCUCCCCUCUGUGUGGCCUGUAAACCCU
rnacentral:lncRNA from 1 species